CGGCAAUCAUCAAUUAUCACAGAGUGUUCAGACAAGGUACUAGUCGUACCCAUGACUGAUAAGUCACCGUCUCUAAAAGCAAUUCUCCUAGCAGCUUCAAAUAUAGCAUUUUGACAUAUUUGGCUACAACACUCAUUCACUGGAUCAACCCUCUUGCAGGCAGCCAGGAGUUUGGAAGAGUCAACAGCACUUUCGAAUCCAUUG
rnacentral:misc_RNA from 1 species